rnacentral:rRNA from 1 species
CCCUUAGAUGUUCUGGGCUGCACGCGCGCUACACUGAAGCGUUCAACGAGUAUUUCACCUUGCCCGGGAGGGUUGGGUAAUCUUCUUAAAACGCAUCGUGAUGGGGAUAGAUUAUUGCAAUUAUUAAUCUUCAACGAGGAAUUCCUAGUAAGCGCGAGUCAUCAGCUCGUGCUGAUUACGUCCCUGCCCUUUGUACACACCGCCCGUCGCUCCUACCGAUUGAGCGAUCCGGUGAAUAAUUCGGACUGCAGCAGUGUUCGGUCACGAACGUUGCAGCGGAAAGUUUAGUGAACCUUAUCACUUAGAGGAAGGAGAAGUCGUAACA